UACAGAGGUCCCAAGCGUUGUUCGGAUUCACUGGGCGUAAAGGGUGCGUAGGUGGUCGGGUAAGUCUGAUGUGAAAGCUCGGAGCUUAACUCCGAAAUGGCAUUGGAUACUAUCCGGCUAGAGGGUCGGAGGGGGGACUGGAAUUCUCGGUGUAGCAGUGAAAUGCGUAGAUAUCGAGAGGAACACCAGUGGCGAAGGCGAGUCCCUGGACGACUCCUGACGCUGAGGCACGAAAGCCAGGGGAGCAAACGGG
rnacentral:rRNA from 1 species